rnacentral:rRNA from 1 species
GACGAACCGAGCGAACGUUGUUCGGAAUCACUGGGCUUAAAGGGCGCGUAGGCGGGUGCUCAAGUCUGUGGUGAAAUCCUCCAGCUUAACUGGAGAACUGCCACGGAUACUGGGUGUCUUGAGGAACGUAGGGGUAUGCGGAACGAUUGGUGGAGCGGUGAAAUGCGUUGAUAUCAAUCGGAACUCCGGUGGCGAAGGCGGCAUACUGGACGUUAUCUGACGCUGAGGCGCGAAAGCCAGGGGAGCAAACGGG